rnacentral:rRNA from 1 species
UACGUAGGGUCCAAGCGUUAUCCGGAAUCACUGGGCGUAAAGCGUGCGUAGGUGGCGCGUUAAGUGUGAUGUUAAAUCGUGUGGCUCAACCAUAUCGAUGCAUCGCAUACUGGCGUGCUAGAGGACAGCAGAGGCAAGUGGAAUUUGUAGUGUAGCAGUGAAAUGCGUGGAUAUUACAAGGAACACCAAUGGCGAAAGGCAGCUUGCUGGGCUACUCCUGACACUGAGGUACGAAAGCGUGGGGAGCGAACAGG